rnacentral:rRNA from 1 species
UACGUAGGGGACGAGCGUUGUCCGGAUUCAUUGGGCGUAAAGCGCGCGUAGGCGGUUCGGUAAGUCGGGUGUGAAAACACGAGGCUCAACCUCGGGCGUGCAUCCGAUACUGCCGGACUAGAGGUAGGUAGGGGAGAUCGGAAUUCCUGGUGUAGCGGUGAAAUGCGCAGAUAUCAGGAGGAACACCGGUGGCGAAGGCGGAUCUCUGGGCCUUACCUGACGCUCAGGCGCGAAAGCGAGGGGAGCGAACAGG